GGGCAUUUGGGUAGGGGUUGGCUAUAGUCAGCAAGGGCGCAUUACUUAGACCAGGCCUGACGUGGGGAUGAAUGGAGAUCCAGGGCUGCUAGAUCCCAUGGCCUGCAUCAAGGCAGGGACUUAGACAGCAUGCCUCCUCCAUGCCCUUCUGCCAAGCUUUCCUGCCUUGGAGCCAGCAGACCCAGGACUGAAAUGUGAGCCAAAAUAGCUCUCUCAUCCCUCAAGUUGUGGGAGUCACAUAUUGGGUCCCAGCAACAAGGGAAAUAACUAUGACAAGGAGCUUCAGCCCUGGUGGAAAAGAUCUGGCACCACAUGGAACUGGCUCUUCCCCAAAGUCGAAAUGACGGUGGGAGAGAAUGAUUCAGGACAUGCAGGCAGCCGUGAAGGUGCCACUAAAGACCCACACGAAAGAGGACUUCCUGAGCUGCUGCAGAACCUGGCAAGAAUGAUAGUAUGAGAGUGUGUGAAUUGAGGAGUAUUUUUAGGAGGAUUAAUGGCAAUGUGUCUUUUACCCUAAUAAAUUUUUUUUGUCCCUAACACAUUUUUUAAAAUUUAAAUAG
rnacentral:lncRNA from 1 species